UACGGAAGGCAGCAGUGGGGAAUAUUGCACAAUGGGCGCAAGCCUGAUGCAGCCAUGCCGCGUGUAUGAAGAAGGCCUUCGGGUUGUAAAAGUACUUUCAGUCGUGAGGAAGGUGUUAAGGUUAAUAACCUUAGCAAUUGACGUUAGCGACAGAAGAAGCACCGGCUAACUCCGUGCCAGCAGCCGCGGUAAUACGGAGGGUGCGAGCGUUAAUCGGAAUUACUGGGCGUAAAGGGCACGCAGGCGGUUAAUUAAGUUGGAUGUGAAAUCCCCGGGCUUAACCUGGGAAUGGCAUUCAAGACUGGUUAGCUAGAGUCUUGUAGAGGGGGUAGAAUUCCAUGUGUAGCGGUGAAAUGCGUAGAGAUGUGGAGGAAUACCGGGUGCGAAGGCGGCCCCUGGACAAGACUGACGCUCAUGUGCGAAAGCGUGGGGAGCGAAACAGGGAUUAGAUACC
rnacentral:rRNA from 1 species